CCCUAGCCGACGCUCUGGGCCAUGGAGGAUACCGUUUGGAACGCAGGGGUAACCGGCGCGCGGCAGGUGCUACAGCUGAUCAGUGACGACGUCAUGAAUCCCCGCCGACGCACUGGACCAGGGAGGAGUCAGCACGAGGUUUGGGGCCGGAUCACUAUAAAUGUAUUUGUAGCUGAUAGGGAUCACAACAGCGCAACCCCUCAGUUUGUACGUAUAUGAGGGCUGGAUCAAUGGUGAACACUGGUGCACUCAGCGCGAUCUUGUUUUGAUUUUAAUUCCUUGCAACUGAGAAGAGAAAAGGUCACGGAAGAAAAAUCUUCAAUUACCGUCCCCAAUGAUUAAAAUUUUUGGAUUCAAACAAUUAAAUGAAAUGGACUGACUAGGGCAGUAUGGAUGGUGUAAUGGUUAACUUUACUGCCUGACCGCAAUGAGGUCAUGGGUUCCAUUUACACCAUGGCGCUAACUGUGUGGAGUUUGUAUAUUCUCCCUGUGUUUGCAUAGAUUUCCUCCUGGAGCUAUGGUUUCCUCCAGGUGGUAUUCAGUAUACUGGUUGUUGGGAUCCCGGCGCACAGUAUACUGGCGCUGGAAUCCUGACAACCGGCAUACCGACACCAUUUCUCCCUCUUGGGGGUCCAUGACCACCCUGGAGGGAGAAUAGAUAGCGUGGCGUGCAUAGUGUGCCACCGUGCCCGCAGCACGGUGAGCGCAGUGAGCCCGUAAGGGGCUAAUUUGAGCUCGCCCCACUGUCGGCAACUCAUACCACACUCGUUUCCUCCCACUAUCCAAAAAUCUGCUGGUAGUUUAAUAGGCUCACGUCAAAAAGAUUAACCAUAGUGCGUGUAUGUAUUAGAUAGGCCAAGGAGUUCUUAUUGGCCAUCAAAUUCUAAGCUAGCUCUUCUUUCUUUCACCAACUGAUAAGAGAAUAGGCCAUGAAAGAAGGAUUUCUGAUCAUUACUGCCAUGAAAGAAGAAUUUUCAAUAAUUACCAUCCCAAAUGCCCCCAUUGAUUAAAAUUUUCGGAAUCAAAUAAUUAAAUUUAAUUAACUUACAAAUCAAUCCUUCCUUCUGAUCUAGUUCUUGAUUAAUGAAAACAUUCUUGGUUACGUUUUAUGGUUUAAUAUAUUUUAUUAAACGGUCAUCAUGUCUGCCACUGCAGUGCCACUCUGUUUCCUAGAUGUUUCAUGUUUGAAGUUGACUGCCAUGUGUUUGCGCUGCCCUCUACUGUCGCCUAGCUUAGUCAGCCAGCUAUCUCUGUGCAGCCUUUUGGCCUAAACUGGAUGAAAACAAUAUUGUGGAGCUGUGAAGUGGUCAAGAUUGACUGGAAAUUACUAGAAAUGAAUGUUAUUGAGGUUAAUAAUACUGUAGGAACAAAAAAGGCAUAUAUUAUGUGAUUUUAGCUGUUAUAAAUGACUGAAAAAGAUACAAAUCAAAAACCAACAACACAAACCAAAUCACAUGAGGGUGGGUUUUGGCAACACCAAAACACAAAGUUAAUACAGAUCCAAAACCGAAACUAAUACACUAGAGAUGUGCACCGGAAAUUUUUCGGGUUUUGUGUUUUGGUUUUGGAUUCGGUUCCGCUGCCGUGUUUUGGAUUUGGACGCGUUUUGGCAAAACCUCCCUUAAAAUUUUUUGUCGGAUUUGGGUGUUUUUUUUUCAAAAACCCCUCAAAACAGCUUAAAUCAAGUCAAGCACUAGACAUUAUAAGGCUUUACAUUAUAUAAUGGAGUAUAACAUCAUGUAUAUGUAUUAAUGGAACAGAACAAAAUAAAUAUGUCAUGCUUGGUGUCAAAA